rnacentral:rRNA from 1 species
UACAGAGGGUGCAAGCGUUGUUCGGAAUUAUUGGGCGUAAAGCGCGUGUAGGCGGCUUUGCAAGUCGGGUGUGAAAUCCCCCAGCUUAACUGGGGAAGUGCGCUCGAAACUGCAGAGCUUGAGUACCGGAGAGGAUGGCGGAAUUCCCCAAGUAGAGGUGAAAUUCGUAGAUAUGGGGAGGAACACCGGUGGCGAAGGCGGCCAUCUGGACGGUAACUGACGCUGAGACGCGAAAGCGUGGGUAGCAAACAGG